ACAGACCAAUACUCUUCCAUCCAAUCCACCCCAACCCAAAUCAGUUUCCCCUAAUCCAAACAUAUUCGCCACCUGUUUGAAGAAUUGCCCCAGAGAGAAAGAAUCGCUUAAUCCUGAUCAAAAUUGCAAUCUUUAUUCACCAUACGAAGAAAAAAGGGAAUAAAAUAUGUCUAGCAUCUAUUCGAUUUCCUCUGCGAAUCAAUCUCCGGCGAGAUCAAGUGAUCAGAAAAUCACGCAGUGCACGGUGAGCUGCGUGUAUCAGACGCACAUUGCCGGAUACUGGCGCAAUGUGACUGUGGUGUGGAGCAAGAACAUCAUGAUGAACUCGUUGCGGAUUUCUGUGGAAAGCGUUGAGCGUGAUCAAGUUUGCACGUGCAAGCUCGAGCUUAAACCUUGGCAUUUUUGGUCAAGAAAAGGCAACAAAAGUUUCAUGGUUGAUGGGAAUCAGCUCGAGCUCUACUGGGAUUUCCGAUCGGCCACAUUCUCUGGUCCAGAGCCGAGUAAAGACUUCUACGUGGCAUUGGUUUUCGGUGAGGAGAUUGUGCUGUUGCUCGGUGACAUGGAGAAGAAGGCGUAUAAGACGACGAAAGCUCGAGCUGCAAUGGUCGAGGCUCUGAUGUUUUACAAGGAGGAGCAUGUGUUUGGCAAGAAGUCGUUCUCCACGAGGGUGAGGUUCGAUCAGGGCAGGGAGCACGAUGUGGUGGUGGAGAGCUCGACUGCGGGGGACAAGGAUCCAGAGAUGUGGAUUAGCGUUGAUGGGAUUGUGUUGGUACACAUUAGGAACUUGCAGUGGAAAUUCAGGGGCAACCAGACUGUGGUAGUGAAUAAUCAGCCUGUGCAGGUCUUCUGGGACGUGCACGCAUGGCUGUUCUGCUUGCCUGGGAUGGGCCACGGCCUCUUCAUCUUCAAGGCCGGGGGCGAGGGGGACAGUGAGGGGGAUGACGACACUCAGUGUGAUGGGAGUGACUGCAGCGGCCCCAGCAGGUACUCCUCUGCGAGGAGCUACUCAAAGUCCGUGGAGACGUGCUUCUUUCUGUAUGCGUGGAAGAUUGAGUGAGGGAGGAAAAAAGGCUUAAAAGAGGUAAGGGGGUGUAAAGGCAAAGUGGUGUAAUCUUGUGAGGUUUGUUAGGAUUAAUACGUUCAACCAAAGACUAACCGGCUGAUCUUUCAUGGGGAAACUCUAUAUGCAAACAAGGCUGCUCCCCUCUUUAAGAAUACUCCAAUUUUUUGUUCCUGAUAUUAAUACACCAAUUUUUAUUCUAUAGUCCAUGAUAAACAACUAACUCUACCUUGUAUCUGCUCCAUAUGACGGCUCCCUGUACAAGAAGUUUUGCAGCUACAGAACUAUGUAACAAAAGAUCCCUACCCAUUUGUUUGUACCAGGCAAGUUAGAAAUGUAAAUAAACUUCAAACAUUUUGCAUUUGUGAAAAAGACUGCAUUUUGGAUACCAUUUCAUUCACCAUACAGUGCUAGCCCAUCUUUAUUAAUGCCCUCUUCUUCAUCAUUUCAUCUA